GGGGAAGAGCUCUCUAUUUAUAGAGCUAGGAAAGAAUAAAAUAAAUAAAAGAAAUUAAAACCAAUAAAUAAUUUGACCGUUGCAGUACUUAAAAAUUUGGCUGUUGGAAUAUUACUGUUGGAGCACAUUAUUGGCAAUUAAAGUUUUGAAAGUUGUAAUCCAACGUUUCCUUUUGCAAUAAUAUAAUCAUUAUUAGAACAAUCCC
rnacentral:lncRNA from 1 species